rnacentral:rRNA from 1 species
AUUGAACGCUGGCGGCAGGCUUAACACAUGCAAGUCGAGCGGGGGAAGGUAGCUUGCUACCGGACCUAGCGGCGGACGGGUGAGUAAUGCUUGGGAAUCUGCCUAUUAGUGGGGGACAACAUCUCGAAAGGGAUGCUAAUACCGCAUACGUCCUACGGGAGAAAGCAGGGGAUCUUCGGACCUUGCGCUAAUAGAUGAGCCUAAGUCGGAUUAGCUAGUUGGUGGGGUAAAGGCCUACCAAGGCGACGAUCUGUAGCGGGUCUGAGAGGAUGAUCCGCCACACUGGGACUGAGACACGGCCCAGACUCCUACGGGAGGCAGCAGUGGGGAAUAUUGGACAAUGGGGGGAACCCUGAUCCAGCCAUGCCGCGUGUGUGAAGAAGGCCUUAUGGUUGUAAAGCACUUUAAGCGAGGAGGAGGCUACUUUAGUUAAUACCUAGAGAUAGCGGACGUUACUCGCAGAAUAAGCACCGGCUAACUCUGUGCCAGCCGCCGCAGUAA